rnacentral:rRNA from 1 species
UACGUAGGGGGCAAGCGUUGUCCGGAAUCAUUGGGCGUAAAGAGCGUGUAGGCGGCCCGAUAAGUCCGCUGUGAAAUCUCGAGGCUCAACUUCGAGCUGUCGGUGGAAACUAUCUGGCUAGAGUCCGGAAGAGGAGAAUGGAAUUCCCAGUGUAGAGGUGAAAAUUCGUAGAUAUUGGGAAGAACACCAGUGGCGAAGGCGGCUAACUGGUCCAGCACUGACGCUGAGGUGCGAAAGCCAGGGGAGCAAACGGG